GAAAAUAUAGCUGAAUUGUUUUAUUUUCCAAAGCACUCUCUUUCUCUCAUGCCUCAUCUCCACACUUGCUUAAUAUACUCCUCCUCCAUCGUUAUGCUGCGCGGCUUUUAUUAACACUACAUGGAUGUUGUUUAAAUAGGCUGCAUGACAGUGAUGCAUGAGGAGGCUCCUGUGAGUAAGUACUGGCCUCCUCUCUUUCACUCCUGACACAGCCAUUGCUUCUAGCUGUGUCACAGCUUACAGAAGAUCACACUGGAGCUGAGGAUUUUGUUCUAGUCACCACAGUUUCUCUCUGAUACUGCUACUCAAGGUAUCUUGACCACCCUUGGACAAGAAAUAAGUCUUCCUGUCUUUCACGUCAGUAAGAAAAAGAAUGGAUCAUGAAUAUGAGGGUGACACUUUUAUAGAGAAUGAGAUGAGAGAGCAGUUACCACUUCCA